GGUGGCUCAGUGGUAAAGUGCUUGCCUUGCAUGCAUGAGACCCUGGGUUCGAUUCCUCAGCACCA
rfam:Dipodomys ordii contig_23978, whole genome shotgun sequence.